rnacentral:lncRNA from 1 species
GCAACCAUCUUUUGCUGGUGGCGCUGGAAUGUACACUCAUCCAGGCAAUAGUGUUGGGUAUGAAAUGGAAGAGUUAAUCACCAAAGAGUUGGUUGAAGCCACUCAAGUUGGUCCAAUCGUUAACACUGCAAGAUUGCCAUUAUCAAUUGCCGAUCAUAUUGGAGUCCAUGGUUGUACAACUUCUAGCAGUGGUGCUAAGAACGGUUUUGAGAGCGCUGUGGGAGCUCGUGAGGCAGGUUUUUCUGUUGAUUCUAACCCAUUAAUGCCAAUUCCUGACACUAGUGUUAGUGGAGUAUAUCCAAGUUUUAAUGCUAGCAUAAAGGACGACAACAUUUUGAUUUGGAAGACCGAUUCCUAGAUCAGAUGAUUGGAUUUUAUGAAAAGGAUGGUAAAUCUUACUCUAUCACUGGUUUCACUAGAAUUACCGUGCAACACAGGCCUAUUAUUUCACAAACUCCGAUGUCAUUACGUGUUCCUCGCCCAGCUGGUACAGUUGGAUUUUGCACUGCAACAUCUUCUAGUAGAUUGUUCUAUCAUGGCAUCCUUCUAGAUAUGGCUCCAGUUGUAUAUCUAGUGUCUCAUUCUUUCUUGCAGCAGAACCAAUAGUUUCUGUUGUAUAUGGUGUAUGUAUUAGCAAAAUUUUUAGAUGCAUAGAACUAUUUAGAACAGUUACCUUCCCCCAACCCCCAUGGCCCCUUUCACUUCCUUCUUUGGUGUACAAGCAUGUUCUUGAACUCCAUGUUCAUUAAAAAAAAGCAUGCAUAUAGUUGAAUCUUAUUUUCUGCUUACUUUGAAAAUUUUCUUAGUUUGUGCAGUCUCCGUUCCCUAUUUUGUUUCUUGUUCAAGUUAAUUUUUAGUGAAAUUCAUUGAAAAGAUAAUGACCCCAAAUUCUAGUUAGACAAAAAUUCUCAAACCACAUAGAGAUCAAAUCAAAAUGCCAAAGGUUCAGAGUACAAAUAAAGCAGAGUAAAGUAACCUUCAUAGCAACACAGAAUAGAAGGCCUUUUGUUGAUAUUUUUUGUAGAACUGAGUAGUGGGAAAAGGCAAUUUCAUCUUCCAUUUAGGUUUCUCAAGCUGUGAACAGAGGAUGCAGCUCAAUUGGGUUUGGAGCGACGCUUUUCGAC